rnacentral:rRNA from 1 species
GGAAGCGUACAUGGCAGUCGAGGGGCAUCGGGAGGGAACUUACUUUCCUUGCCGGCGACCGGCGCACGGGUGAGUAACACGUAUGCAACCUGCCCUCUUCAGGGGGACAACCUUCCGAAAGGGAGGCUAAUCCCGCGUAUAUCGGUUUCGGGCAUCCGUUAUCGAGGAAAGAUUCAUCGGAAGAGGAUGGGCAUGCGGCGCAUUAGCUAGACGGCGGGGUAACGGCCCACCGUGGCGACGAUGCGUAGGGGUUCUGAGAGGAAGGUCCCCCACACUGGUACUGAGACACGGACCAGACUCCUACGGGAGGCAGCAGUGAGGAAUAUUGGUCAAUGGGAGAGAUCCUGAACCAGCCAAGCCGCGUGAGGGAAGACGGCCCUAUGGGUUGUAAACCUCUUUUGUCGGAGAACAAAACCCGGGACGUGUCCCGGACUGCGUGUAUCCGAAGAAAAAGCAUCGGCUAACUCCGUGCCAGCAGCCGCGGUAAUACGGAGGAUGCGAGCGUUAUCCGGAUUUAUUGGGUUUAAAGGGUGCGUAGGCGGUCUGUUAAGUCAGCGGUAAAAUUGCGGGGCUCAACCCCGUCGAGCCGUUGAAACUGGCAGACUUGAGUUGGCGAGAAGUACGCGGAAUGCGCGGUGUAGCGGUGAAAUGCAUAGAUAUCGCGCAGAACUCCGAUUGCGAAGGCAGCGUACCGGCGCCGGACUGACGCUGANGCACGAAAGCGUGGGGAUCGAACAGGAUUAGAUACCC